AAGUCACCCAGGACAUUUCAUGAGGAAUAAAGAAAAUCCAAACCGCAUUGGAUUUAGAGAGAUUCUGAAUUUCAAAUGAAAGCUGUACCAGGAACUUGCUAGAAACAAAGAAACCUCUGAUGAUAACAUACAUGUAUUAAAAACCAGGUUGUACUUUUAAACAAGCCAAACUAAACUCUAAUUUGAAGUGGGGAGAGGUGAAUACUUCUGUAGCAAUUGCCACCAGACAGAGUGUUGAAUUCUGUUUUUCUU
rnacentral:lncRNA from 1 species